rnacentral:rRNA from 1 species
GACGAACGCUGGCGGCGUGCUUAACACAUGCAAGUCGAACGGAAAGGCCCUGCUUUUGUGGGGUGCUCGAGUGGCGAACGGGUGAGUAACACGUGAGUAACCUGCCCUUGACUUUGGGGUAACUUUAGGAAACUGGGGCGAUUACCGGAUAGAAGCUCCUGCAGCAUGGUGGGGGUUGGAAAGUUUCGGCCGUUGGGGCUGGACUCGCGGCUUCUCAGCUUGUUGGUGGGGUAGUGGCUUACAAAGCUUUUGACGGGUAGCCGGCCUGAGAGGGUGACCGGCGUCAUUGCGCCUGCGAGACGCCGCAGACGCCUACGUGACGCAGUAGUGGGGAAUCUUACGCAAUGGGCCGACGCCUGAUGUAGCAACGCCGCGUGCGGGAUGCCGGCCUACGAGUUGUAAACAGAUUUCGCCUGUGCCGAAGAGUGAGUGACGGUAAUGGGUCAAGAAGCACCGGCUAACUACGUG